rnacentral:rRNA from 1 species
GAUGAACGCUGGCGGCGUGCCUAAUACAUGCAAGUCGAGCGAACAGACGCGGAUCUUGCUCCUCUGACGUUAACGGCGGACGGGUGAGUAAAAUGUGGAGACCCUACCUAUAAGACUGGGAUAACUUCGUGAAACCGGUGCUAAUACCGGAUAAUAUCUUCAACCGGAUGGUUCAAUAGUUAAAGACGGUUUUGCUGUCACCUAUACAUGGAUCCGCGCCGAAUUAGCUAGUUGGUAAGGUAACGGCUUACCAAGGCAACGAUGCGUAGCCGACCUGUGAGGGGGAUCGGCGACACUGGAGCUGAGACACGGUCCAGACUCCUACGGGAGGCAGCAGUAGGGAAUCUUCCGCAAUGGGCGAAAGCUUGACGGAGCAACGCAGCGUGAGUGAUGAAGGUCUUCGGAUCGUAAAACUCUGUUAUUAGGGAAGAACAAAUAUGUAAGUAACUAUGCACGUCUUGACGGUACCUAAUCAGAAAGCCACGGCUAACUACGUG